rnacentral:rRNA from 1 species
AACCUGCCCUUUGCACUGGGAUAGCCUCGGGAAACCGAGGUUAAUACCGGAUACUCCAUAUUUGUCGCAUGGCGAAUAUGGGAAAGCUCCGGCGGCAAAGGAUGGGCCCGCGGCCUGUUAGCUAGUUGGUGGGGUAGUGGCCUACCAAGGCAAUGAUGGGUAGCCGGGUUGAGAGACCGACCGGCCAGAUUGGGACUGAGACACGGCCCAGACUCCUACGGGAGGCAGCAGCU